AUUGAACGCUGGCGGCAGGCCUAACACAUGCAAGUCGAACGGUAACAGGCAGAAGCUUUCUUCUUUGCUGACGAGUGGCGGACGGGUGAGUCAUGUCUGGGAAACUGCCUGAUGUAGGGGGAUAACUACUGGAAACGGUAGCUACUACCGCAUAACGUCUCAAGACCAAAGAGGGGGACCUUCUGGCCUCUUGCCAUCGGAUGUGCCCAGCUGGGAUUAGCUAGUAGGUGGGGUAACGUCUCACCUAGGCGACGAUCCCUAGCUGGUCUGAGAGGAUGACCAGCCACACUGGAACUGAGACACGGUCCAGACUCCUACGGGAGGCAGCAGUGGGGAAUAUUGCACAAUGGGCGCAAGCAUGAUGCAGCCAUGCCGCGUGUAUGAAGAAGGCCUUCGGGUUGUAAAGUACUUUCAGCGGGGAGGAAGGGAGUAAAGUUAAUACCAUGGCUCAUUGACGUUACCCGCAGAAGAAGCACCGGCUAACUCCGUG
rnacentral:rRNA from 1 species